rnacentral:rRNA from 2 species
UGGGGAAUAUUGCACAAUGGGCGAAAGCCUGAUGCAGCAACGCCGCGUGAGCGAUGAAGGCCUUCGGGUCGUAAAGCUCUGUCCUCAAGGAAGAUAAUGACGGUACUUGAGGAGGAAGCCCCGGCUAACUACGUGCCAGCAGCCGCGGUAAUACGUAGGGGGCUAGCGUUAUCCGGAAUUACUGGGCGUAAAGGGUGCGUAGGUGGUUUUUUAAGUCAGAAGUGAAAGGCUACGGCUCAACCGUAGUAAGCUUUUGAAACUGAGAAACUUGAGUGCAGGAGAGGAGAGUAGAAUUCCUAGUGUAGCGGUGAAAUGCGUAGAUAUUAGGAGGAAUACCAGUUGCGAAGGCGGCUCUCUGGACUGUAACUGACACUGAGGCACGAAAGCGUGGGGAGCAAACA